rnacentral:rRNA from 1 species
CCCCAUACCGGGGGAUAACAGCUGGAAACGGCUGCUAAUACCGCAUAAGCGCACAGAGCUGCAUGGCUCGGUGUGAAAAACUCCGGUGGUAUGGGAUGGGCCCGCGUCUGAUUAGGCAGUUGGCGGGGUAACGGCCCACCAAACCGACGAUCAGUAGCCGGCCUGAGAGGGCGACCGGCCACAUUGGGACUGAGACACGGCCCAAACUCCUACGGGGGGCAGCAGUGGGGAAUAUUGCACAAUGGGGGAAACCCUGAUGCAGCGACGCCGCGUGAGCGAAGAAGUAUUUCGGUAUGUAAAGCUCUAUCAGCAGGGAAGAUAAUGACGGUACCUGACUAAGAAGCCCCGGCUAACUACGUGCCAGCAGCCGCGGUAAUACGUAGGGGGCAAGCGUUAUCCGGAUUUACUGGGUGUAAAGGGAGCGUAGACGGCAAGGCAAGUCUGAUGUGAAAACCCAGGGCUUAACCCUGGGACUGCAUUGGAAACUGUCUGGCUCGAGUGCCGGAGAGGUAAGCGGAAUUCCUAGUGUAGCGGUGAAAUGCGUAGAUAUUAGGAAGAACACCAGUGGCGAAGGCGGCUUACUGGACGGUAACUGACGUUGAGGCUCGAAAGCGUGGGGAGCAAACAGGAUUAGAUACCCUGGUAGUCCACGCUGUAAACGAUGAAUGCUAGGUGUUGGGGAGCAAAGCUCUUCGGUG